CACAAACACACCCUGGAAAAGUUCACAAUCCCAGGUAAAACAGAACUUCCAUCUCAGUUCAGGGAUAGGCGAGAAGUGAUUCAGCAGACAUAUCCAUACCAUACUUUUAAAGCACAUUUAUACCACUUUAACAGGCAUGACUUCCCUCAAAGAAUUCUGGGACUUGUAGUUUACCCCCACAGGAUUACAAUUCCCAGCACCCUUAACAAGCAACAGUUCCCAUAACUCUUUGAGGGAAGCCACAUGCUGUAAGUGUUCAUUCAAUGCAUGUUAUGGGCAUGGUGACCUAAAUAGCUAGAUCUUCCCUGGCCAGUGAAAACAAAAGAGGGUGGAAGCGGAAUAGCUCUGGGGUUUCACAAUGCUGGCACAGCCAUUCAAAAGGCCCUUGGCUGUAGCAAGGCCCUCCAUCUUUAAUCAUUCUGUUUGUUUGUUUUUGUAUGGCUCCUUGAGGAUCAGUUUCAUGGAAAGGCAGCACAGAGAUUUAUGUAGAGCAAGGUGGAAGCAGGCACAUAGGGAGGAAAUCCUGUUCCUCCUUUGCUGGUUUUGGGGUCACAAGUAGAUGUAUGAUUUAAAAACCACUCUCCUAUCUUGUCAAGCCCCUCUGAGUCUUCUGUGGGAUGGGAGGUCACAGGUUUAAAUUUCAUCUUAGCCAUUACAAUGGUACCUCGGGUUACAUUCUCUUCAGGUUACGUACACACUCCACUAAGCCAGAAAUAGUGCUUCAGGUGAAGAACAUUGCUUCAGGAUAAGAACAAAAAUCGCACAGCGGUGGAGCGGCGGCAGUGGGAGGCUCCAUUAGCUAAAGUGGUGCUUCAGGUUAAGAACAGUUUCAGGUUAAGAACGGACCUCUGGAACGAAUUAAGUACCUAACCCGAGGUACCACUGUACAUUACAUUACCUUGGGUUACAAACUUGAAUACGUUCUGGAGGUAUGUUCUUAACCUGAAACCGUUCUUAACUUGAGGUGCGCUUUCGCUAAUGGGGCCUCCCGCAGCUCUGCUGGCGCGCGAUUUCCACUGUCAUCCUGGGACAAAGUUCUCAAUCCGAGGUACUACUUUCGAGUUAGUGGAGUUAGUUACCCAAAGUGUUUGUAACCCAAAGUGUUUGUAACCCGAGGUAGGACUGUAAUUUGUUGGGCAGCCUUAAGCAACACUCUUAGACCUUAUAGGGCUGGUGUUGCCAGAAGGAUUGGGAUAACUAUUGUUUCUUAAUACUGUACUUUAUUCAUAAGUGUCACUGUUGUAUUUGUGUUUUUCCAGCAUUUUUAUCCUGCUUUUUUUUUUUUUUUGGAUAUUCUCACUGUUAGCCAUCCUGUAAGCCUUUUAGAAAAGGCAAAAUACAGUAUUUUAAAAAUAAAUAAAAUAAAUGUGAAGUGUUCUCAGACUUUGGGAAAUGCAUUGUCCUUUUGUAUUGACUAUAAUAAUACAAUACAUAACAUGUUUCUUUUAAAUGUUAAUUAAUUCACAUUAUUUAACAUUAAUAAAAUAGAAUUAUUGUCAGGUUGGAAACCUUAGUAUCACUUGAACACCCUUACUAAGACUCCUUCUUCUUCCCUUUACUUCUGAUGUUCGGGUAGUGAGUGCCAUUGUUAAUAUAGCCAAAACAGUACAAUCCAGGCAUACUACUGUAUAGCUGUAUCAGCAGGUUCAGGGAACUGCAGAAGUUUGAAGAAGUACAAUUUUAUUUUAAGGGUGGUGUGUGUAGGGGGGUGGAAUCCUCCCUCAAGGGGGAGAAACAAUCCCGAAUAGGCCAGGUGUGCCCAGUGGCUGUGAAAUGCUGAUUGCCUGUUUGCGGGGUGUGUGUGUAUGGAGGGGGGAGACCACUAAGGAAGAGAGAAUGGAGUGGAGUGGCUGGAGCACUGCAACAUUUUGUUGCAGCUUCCACUUUUCUUAAAAAAUGUUUUUAUUAAUUUUUAGUAAUCAAAAAUACAAAACAAAUGAUAACAAUGAAUAGGAAACAAUUCCAUGGGUAAGGUUCAAAACCAUGUAAAGUAUUCAUUAUUGUUAUUGUUUUUAUUACAGGGGCCAACCCAAAGUACUCAGCCAGUUGGCCGUGGGUGGCUGGAUGAUUGCAGACUUUCUCUUUUUUUGCACCGUGUGUAAUAAGACAAUGUCAUAUGUCAGAAAAGUUAUCUGCUCCAAAUCAUUUUCUUCAAGCCUUAAGUUUAUGUGUUAAUUUCCCCAUCAUUGCUAAGUUCCAUACCUCAUGAUUCCAAGCAACAAGGGGGAAUGUCACAAGGUCAUUUUGGAACACUAAUUUACGUUACCCAUCAACUCUGUGUAAGAGAGCCGGUCCAGAUAAAAAUGACUGGGUGGUAAUGCUGUUGAUUUCUUAAAAUCUAUUCCUCCAGAACAUAGCAACGUCUCGACCCAGCCACCACAUGUGACCAAAAAAUGUACUCACAUGCCUACAUCCCUCCGGCACAUCCAAGAAAACCAUUUCUUUGUUCUGUGGAGAUUAUGGUGGGGAUGGUGAGGUAUGAACAAUAUAUUAUUUUUGUAGCAUUUCCUCUUACCCUGGCAGAGACAGAUUAAAACAGGGUCUUGUUCCAUAUUCUAUUCCAAGAGUCCUCACGUAUUUUCAGUUGAAAAUUGUGUUCCCAGGGAAUGUUACUUACCACCGUGGCCACAGGGUCCACUUUUAAAAAAUGUAUUACACUGGUUGUUCUGUUUGGCCUCACAACAUCUCAUUUCCAUUUUACAGCUGAGGAGCUGAGGCUUGAUCCUACCCGAUCCUCAUUUCCCAGUCCUGAGCACAGCUCAUUGGAAUGUGUUAUGCUGACAUCAAAGCACCUGGCUGUGUCACCACCAAAUCAUUUAUGAGGCAAGAGGUUUGAAGAUAAUAAACGUGAUAAGGAAUGUUCCUGAGAAAGUUCAAUAUCAGGCUGGUGCUCAAGACAAGGGAAACACCCCCAGCCACCACCUCCCAAGCUGUAGAUGCUUCUCAGUGUGGGCUGAAUGAUUGCACCAGAAGAAACUACCUCGCCCCAGUAAAACAUGUAAAGGAAAGGCAGUCCCUCUCCAACAUCCUUAUGGGUCACCCAAAACUACAGGUAGAAUCUGGCACACCCAAAUUCUCACUUCCAUUGAUAGGAUGGGAAAUCAUCAUAUGGGAAUAUGGGAAUGGAUUGUCUCCUGAUUCUGUGUAAGUACUUGGGAAUCUCUGAAAGAAGGAGAGCACCAGGAGUGGGGCAGGUGAGUGCAAGGCCAUCUCAGUGAGAUUUGAACUUGCACUCUUAUCUUAUACCUAAAAAAAUGGGGUUGGCUUUUAACAACCCUUCUUCUUUGACGAUCACUCAUAGCCGAGUGUGUGUCUUCCAUGAACAUGGUCUUAACAGUGAGUCCGUAAGUGACUGUGGAGGCCAGUUUUGGAACCACAAGUCCUUUCACAGUGGGGACAUAGGUUUCCAGGUGGGAGUUGAUCACAGUGAUGGUUUGCCAAGCAUGCCUUCCUCUUAACAUGUUUCUCCCUUUUGUCCCAAGUUCAAGCGUCUUCAGAAUCCAUGACACCUUUGGUAAAGGCUGUUCUCCAAUUGGACUGCUCGCAGGCCAGUGUUUCCCAAUUGUCUGUGGGACAGCCCAGCUCCCCAAGGGACUCAGAGUCCCCUAAGUCUGUGAUAGGUCACAGAAGAAUGGAUGGAGGUAGGAACCAGUAGAAGAAAAGCAAGGAAGAUCUUUAUUUUUCCGUUGUAACAGAGUCCCACCCCCACCCUGCCCUCCAAGGAGGUGAGGACCCAGAACAAGUGUAACAACUUUUAAAGUUUUUAAAAUUGCCCAACUCCUUAGUCAAAGACCACCCAAAAGCAUCAUACAAGUGUCACAGAAAGAUGCCUACCAUAGAAAAUUGAGAAUAUGGCUUAUCUCCUGUCUGUUAAGAUACCUGAUAAUGCUUGCUGAUUGCAUUAUCCUGGCCAGUCUGGGCCAUUCUUUUGAAAUGCUAAAUUUCUGAAAACAUUGUCACAGACCUCCCCUAUUCAUACACAAGAUUAGUCCUUUUGACAGGAUUUGAAUGAUUUGUGAGUGGAAAGAACUAUUGGGAAAGGUUUUUCCAAGACUCUUCCUUCUGUAGAGAAAUAUUUGGGGUCAUUAAGAGAGCCAAGAUGGCUUUGGGAUUGUUCUGUGUACUAAAAUAAAGUGUAAAUUUUUUCAG